ensembl:lncRNA
GUGAAGCCAUCCACUAAGGCCAGUGAACUGGAGGAAAUUGAUGAGUUCAAAGAGUAAAAGGGCAAAACAGCAAAGACUGGAGCUACAGAGCCCAGGCACCCAGCAGGGAAGGCUAAGGAAUCAACAAUGCAAUUAAAAGUCUUCAGCCAGCAAUGGAAAUAUUGAACAGUUGCACUGUUUCAAGUGAAGAGACAAUUGGUAACUCCAUAGACAGAGGGAAAAGCAUUAAGGUCAAUCCAGACAGGAUUUCAAUCAAGAGGAGAAAGCUAUCACUUGGUCAGAGACUUUGAAGGCAUGAAAAUUAAUCUGAGUACUCUGAAGGAGCUAGCCUGCCAAAGGAGGAAAAAUCAGAGCCUUUCAAACCAAAGGACUCAAAGAAAACAUCCUGGAAAGGCUAAAGCAAGGAGAGCGCCACAAGCCACCAGCUCAUUUUAAGUCAGUGAGGUAUUGAACUAUUAAGGGGAAAGAAACUGGCAAUAUUGACUGAGAAAACCGGGACAAAGCCUGCAGAGGUUUAAUCCAGUUUGGUGCACAUACCUUUCAGCGUUACAUGAAAGCUUUUAGUUCCCUGGGAGUCUCCAGGACUACACAGCAGCGAGCUGUUUGCUUCUCCAGUUUCCUUAAAGCCUUGCUCUUUAUUGCCCAGAACCCCAUGUGUCCUUGGCUGCUCCAGUACUCAGCUGCCCAGGUACAUCUCCCUUCCAAAAGUCCCUACUGAAUGCUUUUUUCCUCCAGGGUACCUUGCAUUCAGUACCUAUCCAAGCUCACCCACAAACAUAGACUAGACAGGAUGUGACAAAGACCCUGGUUGGUUUUGUUUGUUUGUUUUUUUUUUUGCUCCAUGUAGGUGAGGACAGAAUGGCUUUAAGAAUAAUUGCCUGUUUAAUUCACCCUUCCAACAGAGAUAUCCAAAAUACACUCUUCACAGGAACAUUGCGAUUCAAUGUUUCAGAUAUCCAGUUUUCUUUCAGUAAAUCAAAAACCCUUGAAAAAAACUAGGUAAAAGAUGGAUAUUUCUCCAUGCCAGAGUUUUAAACUUUAUUUAGCC